rnacentral:rRNA from 1 species
UGGGGAAUAUUGCACAAUGGGCGCAAGCCUGAUGCAGCCAUGCCGCGUGUGUGAAGAAGGCCUUCGGGUUGUAAAGCACUUUCAGCGAGGAGGAAGGGUUCAGUGUUAAUAGCACUGUUCAUUGACGUUACUCGCAGAAGAAGCACCGGCUAACUCCGUGCCAGCAGCCGCGGUAAUACGGAGGGUGCAAGCGUUAAUCGGAAUUACUGGGCGUAAAGCGCACGCAGGCGGUUUGUUAAGUCAGAUGUGAAAUCCCCGCGCUUAACGUGGGAACUGCAUUUGAAACUGGCAAGCUAGAGUCUUGUAGAGGGGGGUAGAAUUCCAGGUGUAGCGGUGAAAUGCGUAGAGAUCUGGAGGAAUACCGGUGGCGAAGGCGGCCCCCUGGACAAAGACUGACGCUCAGGUGCGAAAG